rnacentral:rRNA from 1 species
GACGAACGCUGGCGGCGUGCUUAACACAUGCAAGUCGUACGGUAAGGCCCUUUCGGGGGUACACGAGUGGCGAACGGGUGAGUAACACGUGAGUAACCUGCCCACAACUUUGGGAUAACGCUAGGAAACUGGUGCUAAUACUGGAUAUGUGCUCCUGCUGCAUGGUGGGGGUUGGAAAGCUCCGGCGGUUGUGGAUGGACUCGCGGCCUAUCAGCUUGUUGGUGGGGUAGUGGCCUACCAAGGCGGCGACGGGUAGCCGGCCUGAGAGGGUGACCGGCCACAUUGGGACUGAGAUACGGCCCAGACGCCUACGGGAGGCAGCAGUGGGGAAUAUUGCACAAGGGGCGCAAGCCUGAUGCAGCAACGCCGCGGGCGGGAUGACGGCCUUCGGGUUGUAAACCGCUUUCAGCAGGGACGAAGCUUUUUGUGACGGUACCUGAAGAAGAAGCACCGGCUAACUACGUG